ensembl:lncRNA
GUCUCUCCUAAAGAUAUUAUGCAUAAGUGCACAGCACAUACACACAGGAUGUUCAUGGCAACACUGUGAGUCAUAAUGACCUCAACGUCUACCAUCACAAGACUGGCAAAGUAUAUUAUGAUACACCUACACCUUGGAAAGGUAGGCAGCCAGGAAAAAGAAUGAGGAAAGUAUGUAAGUGGUAAAGAGGAAUAUCACUUGGAUACACCAUGGAGUGCACCAAGAAAGAUUUGUCAAACAAAUUAUACAUGGGUCUCACUAUGUAGCCAAGGCUGUCCUGGAACUCAUAGAACUGAGAAACCUUUUCCCCCAAAUAAUGGAACUGACCAACAAGGAAAACUCACCAGCAAGGGCCAUACACAAGUAAAAAGAACUCUUUGCUGCUGCUGGUGUAGACUCAGACAAGGUUAAUGGACCAAGAUAAACAUUCUCCUUCGCCUCCUGAGCAUCAAACGGGAAACACAGGCCACACAAAGCCCUAUCUUAAAUUCUGCUGUUGUGAGUGGAAGAUUCUGAGCACACUUCGCUCAGGGUAACGUGGGCUGGGGGUGAGCAGGAUUCAGCCGGGGCUCAUAGGUCUCAGGUCUGCCAGGAAGGCCUCGCCCAGGCGGGAAGUGCCUUCCACCUGAAGUGUUUGCCCCUGAAUGGAGAGAAUCUUCCCUGACCAGGAAGCUUGCUGGGCACACCUAGCUUCUUUUCGAAAAUUCUCAUGGCACUUUCCAGAAACAAAUAGAUCUGGAAUUAGAAAAAUG